ensembl:lncRNA
UCUAUUUACACUUAAACUCAGUAUUAGACACCAUUUAAAAUAAUAAGGAAUUGAACAAAGCAUUCUGGGUAAUUUGUGCUGUCAGUGUGAAUGUGCUGAGAUGACUUAACCACUUAACCAAGGGAAAUGGACUAGGGGAAGUGUUCAGUGUUGGAACAGGGCGUCUGUGUGUUUCACAGAGAAGCUGUUAUAUUUACAGAGCUAUGUGGAACUACAUCACUGCACACCAAAAAACACACAGUAAUCACAAGAGAGAGAGAGAGUGUGUGUGUGUGUGUGUGUGUGUGUGUGUGUGUGUGUGUGUACAAGAACACUAGAGCUGCACUGUCUCAAACUAACACCGAACACCUGAGACAAGACACCAUGAGUGGAUAGCUCCUAAUUAGUACAGAAAUAUUUUUUUGCCUAUUUAUAUUAAUAAUCAUUAUUAUUAUUUAUAUUAUAUGACACUUUGGUGAAUAAAAGGUGACUGAAGGGGGCAGAGCUGGAAAAUAAUGACAUCACACUUCUGUACCUCCCACCAGUGCUGCAGUUUGGAAUGUGUAAGCUGCUGUCCAUAUCAUUAGUUUAAUUUUAAUGUAUACUUUAAUGAAUAAAAGUGUCUGUUCCUGAUAAGUGACGUUCUCCCGCUCACUACAGUGAUUUCUACACCAUGUUUACAUUCUCCACGAAGUGUUCACUCUAUUUAUAAGAUUUUUGGGUAUAAAGUGCGCUCUUUUUCCAGCUCUGCUCCCACACCUUCUGCUUACAAUCACUAACACAUAAUGACCUCUAACCUAUCACCAGCUGCAAUGACCUAUGACCCUUUACAUGUUAGCAGGAAGCUUGUGUCUUAGUGCAUCAGAUUCCCUCUGUGAUGGCAGUGUGGUUGUGUCUGGUUUCCCCGACUUGGAGGACAUGAAGGAAGCAAUGUCUGAUGCUCCUAAAUCUGAAGUUGCAGUGGAUUUGGCAAGUCCUGGUGAGACUGAAGGUGGGUUUGAAGAAGGUGUAGGAGACUGUGAUGAGGAAGGGUAGAGGGUGGAUGUUUGGAGGGUGGAUGGAGGUUGAGUCUGGGAUGCUUUGGGGAUUUGAAGUGUUGAAGAGGAGGCUUUUGGUGAUAGGGAUGGAAGAGAUGAAGACAGAGUUUGUGUUAGAGUUUGGUUUGGAACUGGGCUUGUGUUUCGGGUUUGGGUUGGAGUUGGGUUUUGGGAAGUGGUUUCAGUAGAACUCCGAGUUUGUGCCGAGGAUGGAUUUUCAAGGGAACUCAGGAUUUGAGCCAUGGUGGGAGUUGCAGUUUGGGUUUGCAUCAGCAUUUGGGUCGGGCUUUGAGUAGGUGAAGAUCUGGCUGUAUUUUCUUGAGUUGAC